rnacentral:rRNA from 1 species
GUCCACGCUGUAAACGAUGCGUGCUAGACGUUGGGUGGUCACCAUUCGAUGUCGCAGUUAACACGUUAAGCACGCCGCCUGGGGAGUACGGCCGCAAGGUUAAACUCAAAGGAAUUGACGGGGCCCGCACAAGCGGUGGAGCAUGUGGUUUAAUUCGAUGCAACGCGAAGAACCUUACCUGCCCUUGACAUGGGAAGUAUGAUCCUCAGAGAUGGGGGUCUUCAGUUCGGCUGGCUUCCACACAGGUGCUGCAUGGCUGUCGU